rnacentral:rRNA from 1 species
UACGUAGGGUGCGAGCGUUAAUCGGAAUUACUGGGCGUAAAGCGUGCGCAGGCGGUUGUGUAAGACAGGUGUGAAAUCCCCGGGCUUAACCUGGGAACUGCGCUUGUGACUGCACGGCUAGAGUAUGGCAGAGGGGGGUGGAAUUCCACGUGUAGCAGUGAAAUGCGUAGAGAUGUGGAGGAACACCGAUGGCGAAGGCAGCCCCCUGGGCCAAUACUGACGCUCAUGCACGAAAGCGUGGGGAGCAAACAGGAUUAGAUACCCUGGUAGUCCACGCCCUAAACGAUGUCGACUAGGUGUUCGGUGAGGAGACUCAUUGAGUACCGCAGCUAACGCGUGAAGUCGACCGCCUGGGGAGUACGGUCGCAAGAUUAAA